rnacentral:rRNA from 1 species
GAUGAACGCUGGCGGCGUGCCUAAUACAUGCAAGUCGAGCGAACGGACGAGAAGCUUGCUUCUCUGAUGUUAGCGGCGGACGGGUGCGUAACACGUGGAUAACCUACCUAUAAGACUGGGAUAACUUCGGGAAACCGGAGCUAAUACCGGAUAAUAUUUUGAACCGCAUGGUUCCAAAGUGAAAGACGGUCUUGCUGUCACUUAUAGAUGGAUCCGCGCUGCAUUAGCUAGUUGGUAAGGUAACGACUUCCCAAGGCAACGAUGCGUAGCCGACCUGAGAGGGGGAUCGGCCACACUAGAACUGAGACACGGUCCAGACUCCUACGGGAGGCAGCAGUAGGGAAUCGGCCGCAAAGGGCGAAAGCCUGACGGAGCAACGCCGCGUGAGUGAUGAAGGUCUUCGGAUCGUAAAGCUCUGUUAUUAGGGAAGAACAUAUGUGUAAGUAACUGUGCACAUCUUGACGGUACCUAAUCAGAAAGCCACGGCUAACUACGUG